UGGAGCCGUAACGGUAGUCUCA
rnacentral:misc_RNA from 1 species